rnacentral:rRNA from 1 species
ACUCCUACGGGAGGCAGCAGUGGGGAAUAUUGCACAAUGGGCGCAAGCCUGAUGCAGCAACGCCGCGUGAGCGAUGAAGGCCUUCGGGUCGUAAAGCUCUGUCCUCAAGGAAGAAUAAAUGACGGUACUUGAGGAGGAAGCCCCGGCUAACUACGUGCCAGCAGCCGCGGUAAUACGUAGGGGCAAGCGUUAUCCGGAAUCACUGGGCGUAAAGGGUGCGUAGGCGGUUUUCAAGUCAGAAGUGAAAGGCUAUGGCUCAACCAUAGUAAGCUUUUGAAACUGUUAAACUUGAGUGCAGGAGAGGAAAGUGGAAUUCCUAGUGUAGAGGUGAAAUUCGUAGAUAUUAGGAGGAACACCAGUGGCGAAAGGCGACUUUCUGGACUGUAACUGACGCUGAGGCACGAAAGACGUGGGAGGCGAACAGGAUUAGAUA